ACGAGGUGAGCCUGCCAGUCAAAAAGCAGGACUCAAUCCGUUGAGCGACCUCUUUGACUUACAUAAAGCAUACUGUGUGGGUGCGCCAUCUGAUUGCAGCUAGAAGACUUACGUCUCUUUAUUUCGUAAAAAAAAUAUAUACCAAGAUGGGAAAAAUCGUAUUAAUUGCUGUCAUUUUCCUCGCUGCAGUUGCUUUGUCCCAAGCAGCAUCUAAUGCUACAAAUACGACAAGUAAGUAUAUUCUGCUUAUUUAUAUGUGAAUAUUUUUUUCACUUUCACAUCAUCGGUUACUUC